CCUACGGGUGGCAGCAGUGAGGAAUAUUGGUCAAUGGCCGGAAGGCUGAACCAGCCAAGCCGCGUGAAGGACGAAGGUGCCGAGUAUCGUAAACCUCUUUUGUCAAGGGACAAAAACUGGCUCGAGAGCCCGACUGAGUGUACCUGAAGAAAAAGCAUCGGCUAACUCCGUGCCAGCAGCCGCGGUAAUACGGAGGAUGCGAGCGUUAUCCGGAUUUAUUGAGUUUAAAGGGUGCGUAGGCGGGCUGUUAAGUCAGCGGUAAAAGCCCGGGGCUCAACCCCGGCGAGCCGUUGAAACUGGCUGUCUUGAGAUGUCGAGAGGUAUGCGGAAUGCGCGGUGUAGCGGUGAAAUGCUUAGAUAUUGCGCAGAACUCCGAUUGCGAAGGCAGCAUGCCGGCGGCGAUCUGACGCUGAGGCACGAAAGCGUGGGUAUCGAACAGGAUUAGAUACCCGGGUAGUC
rnacentral:rRNA from 1 species